GAUGAACGCUAGCGGCAGGCUUAACACAUGCAAGUCGAGGGGUAUAGUUCUUCGGGAUUAGAGACCGGCGCACGGGUGCGUAACGCGUAUGCAAUCUACCUUUUACAGAGGGAUAGCCCAGAGAAAUUUGGAUUAAUACCUCAUAGUAUGCAGAGUUGGCAUCAAACACUGCAUUAAAGUCACAACGGUAAAAGAUGAGCAUGCGUCCCAUUAGCUAGUUGGUAAGGUAACGGCUUACCAAGGCUACGAUGGGUAGGGGUCCUGAGAGGGAGAUCCCCCACACUGGUACUGAGACACGGACCAGACUCCUACGGGAGGCAGCAGUGAGGAAUAUUGGACAAUGGGCGCAAGCCUGAUCCAGCCAUGCCGCGUGCAGGAUGACGGU
rnacentral:rRNA from 1 species